AAUCUCAUGAACAUCUCAUACACAUAUCUUUACUGCUGGAUUUGUAACACAGGUUACACUAACUCAUCAAUUUCAUGUAUUUCACAUGGUCACAGUAAAGAGCUUGGAAAUGCACUAUAGGGUUCUACAAAAUGGAAUGAAAAUGUGUCACUCAGCCCAGUUUUCAUAGAUAAAACUGGGCUCCCUAUGCCUCUCCUUUUUUCCUUUCAUCUGCAUUAUUCCCGUUGCCAAAAUCUGGAGCCUGGUAAAGGCCCAGUAGCGGUGGCAACAAUAGAGCUGUGUGUCACCCCAGUGAGCUGAAAGAGCAGACAUCAAGCUCUAUGCCAGAGAACAGUGGGGCAUCCCCAAGGUCCUGCUGGAAGGCAGCUCUGAUCUGGAACUGGGAAGGACAACACACAGUCAAGCUCUUUCUCGUCUCAGAGAAUCCAGCAGAAUCUUCAGGGAUCCUUCCAGACCAGGAAGACUCUCACACUCUGCAGAGAAGUUGCGGCUUGUUUAGCAUUUGACCUACAUUCAGAAACGACCAGCCUCCCAACUUUCAGCUCUAAGGAUUACUUAAAAAAACAAAUGGUGUUCAUUCUCA
rnacentral:lncRNA from 1 species